rnacentral:rRNA from 1 species
UACGUAGGGUGCAAGCGUUAAUCGGAAUUACUGGGCGUAAAGCGUACGCAGGCGGCUUUGCAAGACAGAUGUGAAAUCCCCGGGCUUAACCUGGGAACUGCAUUUGUGACUGCAAGGCUAGAGUACGGUAGAGGGGGAUGGAAUUCCGCGUGUAGCAGUGAAAUGCGUAGAUAUGCGGAGGAACACCGAUGGCGAAGGCAAUCCCCUGGACCUGUACUGACGCUCAUGCACGAAAGCGUGGGGAGCAAACAGG